rnacentral:rRNA from 1 species
CGGGAGGGCGCGUCGCAACUUUC